rnacentral:rRNA from 1 species
CCUACGGGAGGCAGCAGUGAGGAAUAUUGGUCAAUGGACGAGAGUCUGAACCAGCCAAGUAGCGUGAAGGAUGACUGCCCUAUGGGUUGUAAACUUCUUUUAUAUGGGAAUAAAACGUUCCACGUGUGGGAUUUUGUAUGUACCAUAUGAAUAAGGAUCGGCUAACUCCGUGCCAGCAGCCGCGGUAAUACGGAGGAUCCGAGCGUUAUCCGGAUUUAUUGGGUUUAAAGGGAGCGUAGGUGGUUUGUUAAGUCAGUUGUGAAAGUUUGCGGCUCAACCGUAAAAUUGCAGUUGAAACUGGCAGUCUUGAGUACAGUAGAGGUGGGCGGAAUGCGUGGUGUAGCGGUGAAAUGCUUAGAUAUCGCGAAGAACUCCGAUUGCGAAGGCAGUUCACUGGACUGCAACUGACACUGAGGCUCGAAAGUGUGGGUAUCAAACAGGAUUAGAUACCCCAGUAGUC